GGGAAGUCUGAACGAUCAUGAGUGGCUUACGACAUUCUGUCAACACUCAGCACGUCUGCCCGCUCUCGCAGUGCAGUGCUCUGUUAAAGGGAGGCAAGCCAUGCUCCGCGAUCCGUCUUGCCCUUAACCUCACCUGAAACAAACGGGGAAAGUGUAGCGGCGGCUGCGGCUCGGUGGCUGGUCAAAGGGACGCCAUACCGUUCCGCCCAGCCGAUGAAAGGUCGCGCUUGGUCAUUUCAAAUCAUGGGACGCUGAUUCCGGAGCACUGAGCUGAACGACUCUUUGACAAAGGCGGAAGAUGCCAAACUAACCGAGAGAGAGAGAGAGAGAGUUCGGAAAAAGGUUUCCGAGAAACUGCAGCUGCAAGAAGAUACGGGAGAGGAUUUUCGCCCACCCUUGUGUUUUAUUCUAAACAACAGCACGGUUAUAUUACUAACACAAAACAGCCGCGAAACUUGCCAGUGUGGACAAGAUAACCGAGCAUCGAAUUGGGGAGUCCUACACCUCUUACCGAGGAGCCACCGACCGAGGUACUGAGAGCCACAGCUAGUGGGAAAUAAAGUCAAGGAGCCGCGGCACUGGGUUAUGUGUUGUGUUUUACAAUCUGUAGCUCGUGUGAACACACACACACACACACACAUAACACACACAAAAAAAAGGGUGACUGAAUGGAGCCCGUCACUGGGCGGAAAACGAUGGGUAAGGUUAUUUUCGUUUGAAUCAUUUCAUUAAAGCAAAUCUUGUGUCUCCUUGCAGCCUCUACAAUGAAACGAAUCAAUUAAUUGAUGCUCAGAUUUUCUAUUUCUCUCUCUCUCUCCUCUCUUUCAAACUCCCUCAAUCCUCCACUCUGGAUGUCACUGGGGCAGGACAUACACCUGCCCGAGUCGGAAAGAAAAAAAAAGCUAGCUUCAAACAAAAAAAAACAAAAUGAUGUAAAACAAAAGUUUGGAGAUUCGGAAGAUUUGUCCGUAUUAAUUCAAACGAAAAGGAGCGAGGGAGACGGGAGGGUGGGGGGAAGAAAGGAAGCCGACUCCAAGCAGGGAUUGGAGGUCUGAACUCUUGCUUCAUGGAUUUCCUCCUUGUGGCUCUGAGUCUCCAGUGGCUGCUGCAGAAGCCUUCCGUUUGGCUGGCGUGUGUACUCGGCUUGUUGUUGGAGAUGUUGCCCGGCGCUGAGAGUGUGUGUGCCAGUCAGUGCCGCUGCGACGGGAAGCUGCUGUACUGCGAGUCGCAGAGCCUGGGCGAGAUGCCGCGGAACCUGUCGGGGCUGCAGGGUCUGUCGCUGCGCUACAACAGCCUGUCGGAGCUGCGAGCCGACCAGUUCGCCGGCGUGCUGCAGCUCACCUGGCUCUACCUCGACCACAACCACAUCUACUCGGUGGACGGCGCGGCGUUCCGCGGGCUGCGGCGCCUCAAGGAGCUGGUGCUCAGCUCCAACAAGAUCACCCAGCUGCCCAACUCCACUUUCCGACCCAUGCCCAACCUGCGCCAUGUGCAGCUUUCCUACAACAACCUGCAGGCUCUGGAGCCGGACCUUUUCCACGGCCUGCGCAAACUGCAAACGCUGCACCUGCGCUCCAACGCACUGAAGUACAUUCCGGUCCGAAUAUUCCAGGACUGCCGGAGUCUGGAGUUUCUGGACGUGGGAUAUAAUCAGCUGCAGAGCCUUGCCCGGAACGCGUUCGCAGGCUUGUUGAAACUAACCGAACUCCACCUGGAGCACAAUGAUUUGGUGAAAGUAAACUUUGCUCAUUUCCCACGGCUCCUCUCCCUGAGAACACUCUACAUGCAGUGGAAUAAAGUCAGUAUUGUAGUCAACUCUUUGGAGUGGACUUGGAACCAUCUAGAAAAAUUAGACCUCUCUGGGAAUGAGAUUGAGUUUAUUGAAUCUUAUGCCUUUGAAGUAGUGCCUAACCUCAAGAUACUUCAAUUGGAUUCAAACCGGCUAACCACCAUCGAACAAACAAUUCUGGAUUCCUGGAAAUCCUUAACCAGUAUCAGCCUUUCUGGAAACAGCUGGGAAUGCAGUCGGAAUAUCUGUGCUUUGGCCAACUGGCUAAGCAGUUUUAAGGGUCAUCAUGAAGGCAGUCUGUUGUGUGCCAGUCCUGUGCAUACCCAGGGUGAGGAGGUUCUAGACGCUGUGCACGGCUUUCACAUAUGUGAUGACUUGGUCACAAGCACACGGGCCCUUUCUGACAUGACCAGUGUGGCAGAAACAGACCAAGAUAUGACAGCAGUCAGAGAUGCUUCCAGCAUCUAUGUCACACAGGAUACAACUGGAAUAAAACCCACUGAUUUAAUCACUGUCACUACUGAGCUUUCUCAAGAUCACCAGGAAAAUACCAUUCAGGUUCACAAAGUAAUCACUGGCACCAUGGCAUUGCUUUUCUCCUUUCUGAUUGUGGUUUUGGUGCUGUAUGUUUCAUGGAAAUGUUUUCCUGCUGGCCUCAGGCACUUGAGGCAAUGCUUUGUGACACAGCGCCGCAAACAGAAACAGCAACAAACUAUGCAUCAGAUGGCAGCCAUGUCCACGCAGGAAUACUACGUGGACUACAAACCCAAUCAUAUUGAAGGGGCACUGGUAAUCAUUAAUGAUUAUGGAUCAUGUUCAUGUCAUCAACAACCAGCCAGAGAAUGUGAAGUGUAAUUUUCAUUCUGCCUCACUGGAAAUGCAACAUUACAAGUGGACAUUUCGCAGCUCGAGACUGACACACCGAAAAGGACCACUUUACAAUACUGAGUAUGAAUGAAUUACACACAGUACUGAUUCCAACAAACCUUGCACCAGGAUCUUUCAACAGUCCAAAUGAUAUUUAAGCUUCAAUGCAUCUUUAAACCAUUCAAAUCAUCCUCUGUUCGACUGUCAUUUGAAAUUUGUAAAAGGAAAAAAAAUGUAAAUGUAACUCUUCUCACCAGUUUCUUAUGAUAUUAAAUCCACCUGUAAGAUCUGGGAAUAAGGGAGUUCAAGGCUCAUCAAGGAUGAAAAUGGAACGGCUCAGUGGAUCAUUGCCGGUUCUGGACGAAUUUAUCAGCAGAUCUCUCGCCCGUGGCACAACCCUGGCAUUGGCUCUAGACUUUCAUAUUCUGUUACUUUCAUGUUUAAUUUUUCUUCGCUCCCACCAAAGCCGCCUUCCGCCAAAGCCUAGUUCUAGACUAAAAUAAUAACCGAGGGGAAGUCGCUGAUACUAAUCCACAAGAGACCAACUUUGAUCAGUAGUUUAUUUGGAGAGCAAUGGUGCCACCUAGUGACUUCCUCCACUGGCUUUACACUGAGAAAGCUUCGUAUUUAUAAAUUAACCAAAUAGAAAAUUCAGAUAAUUUAAAUAAAUAAGGAAUAGUUAAUCAUUUAAAAUACUAUAUAAUCUGCUGGUAAAUGAAGGAGUUUCAAAUCUUAAAUGUUAUUAAAUAUUGUGUUCUUACCAAUUUUAUGGUCCUAAACCAUCUCAAUCGCCUAAAAAGUUAGUGAAUCACGAAGACUUGGAUCACUACUGCUGGUGUCUGGCCAUCUGCCCAAUACCACCGAUUGUAAAUAGUAAUUUGAUUCUACUUUGGUAUCCUAGCAACUUAGCUGUUGUCAUGACAGUACAGUCAAUGUCCAUAACAAAAGCUUCUUUCUUCUUUUGGUUUAUUAUGGUCAAUCUGUGAAGCUGUAUCACAUUCAGAAAUGCCGUACGUAAAGAGGACAAAUCAGAAUCUUAUUAAACAUGUGAGGAAAAUUGCAAGUGCCACAAAAAUGGCGAUUCAAUGAUCUUUGAUCGAGAAAUGUUUUGAAAUUAAUAGCCCUUAUAAGCUAACAAAGUGUGUAGCUGGAUGAACAAAGCAAGCCAAGCAGCAUCUUGGAUUCUCCAGCGUCUGCAGUUCCCAUUAUCUCUAGCCCUUAUAAGCUGUUGGAUAAAGUAACAUUGUUUUCUUGUGCCCGUUUAUUCUGCAGAGUAGACCCAGUCGCCUUGGUAUGUAACACAUUCUUAGUACAGUUGUUCAGAAUUUACCAUUGUAACUUUAAAAUAACUUCUUUGUAUGUGCACUAAUGGUGCUCAUCUAAGUUAAUUUACUGAUGUGUGUGCUUGAUGAUGUUACAAAACCAGGAUCAUCCUGCGCAGAUAGUUGACAGCUCAAACACUUUAAACCUAAAAUAAAAAGCCGAAAGAACUGAGGAUGCUGUAAAUCAAGAACAAAAACAAAGUUGCUGGAAAAGCUCAUCAGUUCUCGCAUCUGUGAAAGAAAAAAAAGUUAACGUUUCGGUAACGUUUUGAAUCCUCAGUCCUGAGGAAGGGUCACCAAAUCC